rnacentral:lncRNA from 1 species
AAAAAAAAAACCUUCUGAUUUUUACAAGGAUCUUCUGAUUUUCGAAUGGUUUUCCAUUUUCCUAAAUUAGGGUUUCCCGAAAAUUUUCUUUUCCAAAAUGUUUGAUAGUUUUGAGUGGUUGAUCUUCUGCUUCUUAGGUGUCUAAAAGCCCUAAUUUUUCGAUAUUUUUAUUUGGUUUCUGAGUUACUUGUAUGCUGACUUUGUCCUUGCUUUAGUUCUUGUGAUUUUUCUUUAGCUAAUUGUAUGUCUUGCGAUUUUUAUCUUGAUAUUCCUAUACUAAGGUCCUUGGUUCGAUUUUUCUACUGAUUCUAUAUGUUUGUAUUCAUUUUGGUUGUUCAUAGUAAACCUAUAUUUUCACCCUUAAAUCAGCGUUAAUUUGAAUUCUUGAUUUAUCAAUUUGUUUCCUGACUAAUCCUUUCUUGCCUUAUUUGAAAUUGUCUGCGAUACUUGCUGACUCUUUGCAAGAUUCCUUUCCUUAAUUAAAACCUAGACUCUCUAUUCUGAAGGUCUUUGUUUUAAUUGGAACUCCUUUCCUUAAUAAGAUCUCUGAUUCUUACUUCUUUACUUGGUCUGAUUGAACUUGUUGCUUUAUUUAGCCAUGUCGUUACUGUUGGUUGAUUUUUCCUUAAUUAAGGGAGAAAAUUAUGCUGAAUCUUCGUGUAAUUGAUUUUAAAAUUCCUUGAUUACUGAUUGUUGAUCGCUUUACCUUAUUUGCUCUACUCUUGAUUACUAUAUAAAAUCCCUCUUAUUUUAACUUCUGACACGAACAAUAGUUCAGAAAACUACCACUUUUUACACUCUAAAAAGGCUCUCUCUACUCUUCUCGCUACUGGUGAUCGCUGCUGUUUUAGCCGGCUGCAAGCCAAGGCUGGAAAUUGUACAAUACCUUUCUCACAUCUUGAGUUUUUUCAUUCUUUAACUAGGUAUACUUCUAAUUAAUUUUUAAGAGUCAAAACCUAUGUGUUUACUUACUGUGUUAGUUCAUAUGGCCUGAGUCCAUUCUUGCUUCUGUUUACUGCUUACCCAACAUGCCUAAUAUUGCCUAUUCAAAUUUGUAAUUAGCAUGUUUCCACUUUAUUUUCUUGUUUGCUAUCUUUUUUAACAUGUCUACAUAUGAAACUAAGCCUGUUUGACUGACCACUGUUUAUCUAGCAUGCCUAGACUCUGCCUUUGUGUAAUUAGCAUGCCUUAGGCUAUUAAUACUUGCCUAGCAUGCCCAUCUAGGUCUUUGCCUGUUCUGCCUCACUCCUGCUAAGUUAAUUACUCUCCCGAGAAUGGCUUCAAUAUGUUCUGUUGUGAUCUUUGCUGCAUGACCUACAUUCUGCCUACUAGCUCUGUAGAAAAACUCUAUGUAUCAUGUUGUUUGUGUGCUCAAUUAAGUGUAUUCUCUAUGUUCCUAAACCCUUUUACCAUGUGUAAAAUCUGCUUGGCAAAGUACUCCCUAAAACUGUUUAUUCUAUGACUUGUGUUCUGAUUGCAAAUUGUUUCUUUACACUUUCCUCAAACAGUUAUAUCACUAAUGGUUUUCAGAAGUUCUUUUCAGUCCUAAGACCUUUCUUUUAAACUCUUUCAAACCAUUAUGCACUUUCACUUAUUCCUAGAAUAUUAGGUCCUGCCCCUCUGGUAUGUGUAUUGCUUAGAGACCCUUGAGAUCUCUUUGAACUCUGGCAUAUUAGGGCUGGUACAUCCACACUACACAAUAAUUAAUUGUUAUUUGAGAAAGGUCUAGGCGUGAGCAUUGUCUGGGAUCCUUGAGGUCCUUAGGGAACUCUGACACACCUAGACAUGAAAUUGGCUAUGGAACCUUGCCAUUUGAGACUACUUGAGUCUUGAAAUCAUUUGGUCCUACCUCAGGCUCCCUAUAGAUUAAUUUCUAUUCUAUUUAUGUAUAUUUAUUCAAUUCAUUGGUUUGUAAUAAUUAUUGUAAACAAACAGUGGGGUGACCAGUAAAAAGGGAGAGUAGUUAUAUAUUGUGGGUAAAAUUGGGUAGAUACCAUACUUAUAGGGUCCGUGUUGAUUCAAAUGUGUUUGUUAGAUAACAUGCCUAUAGGAUCUGCUUUGGUCUAAAUAAGUUUUGUUUGUUUUACUUCCACACAAUUAGAACUCAUGCUUAUAGGAUCUAAAUCAGCUUUUAAUAAUUAGAUACCAUGCUUAUAGGAGUUAAAAUCAGUUCUAAUAGAAAUCAUGCCUAUAUGGGUUUCACUUUGGUCAAAUGAAUUCUACUUGCUUCACAUUAUCUUUAAUUAGAAAUCAUGCCUAUAGGACUUAAAACCAGUUUAGUUAGAAAAUCAGUUUGAUUCAUGUUUAUUCUAAAUCAGUUUAAUUAACUAAUCUGUCAGCUUCUUUAAUAAGUUUUCAACGUUGUCUUAAAUAAUAUUGCUAGAAAGCAUGCCUAUAGGAUCUCAAGUUGUCCGCUUAAAGCUGUUUGCUAUUUCGUUGCAUUCCUAAUCAGUAAUAGAUAUCAUGCUCCUAGGACAUCACUGUUAUAAGCCUAGGCAAGCCUGUAGGGCGAUUAAAAUUUUGCAAAAUUGUGCCUUGUUAUUUGAGACUGCUCACAUGCAACAGGUUUAAAAGAAUCAGUAGGCAAGUAGGAUUCAGUUCUUUGAUACUUUGUUCCUAACUCAAUAUUGUAUACUCUCUGCUCACCUAGAUAUCAUGUUCUAAGGUUUUCUCUUAAAUACUUGAAACUGUUGUUUGAGACGUGCACUUACUUGUUAUGCUUGUGGAGGUAAAUGCGAGCCUUUAAUUGUUCUCUUUAAUGUAGCCAUAACUUUUUUGAUUGACGCCUAGACUUUUCUCCUUUAGUACCUUAGGAUGGUCUAGAACCACCUAAAUUAGAGGUCCUAAAUACCUCCAGGGCAACAAGAAAGGGACGGGUGGUGCACGCAUAGGAUAUCUCUCAAGGUUGCUAGAACUUUUUAGGUUAUGACCAAGGGGAGGGAAUUGGGUAGUAAGGAUAUGAUGACUACGCGCUAAUGUCACGUGUAGCCCCUCAUUAAGGAGUGAUUACCGGGCAUUGUGUGGGUAUGAUCCUGUAGGCUAACCAACCUAGAACCCCUCUUUCCCAACUCCCGUUGUUUAAAUGAAUUUACUUUUCUUUACAUAUGUGCAAAUUAUCCAAACCUUUUCCUUUGUUUUCAUUGCUUGAAUCAUAUAUGCACUUGGAAUGUCAAGACAUGUCUUUAUUUGUGAGUACGUGAAAAACUUGUUUAUUUGUAAAAGGACUAAUUCACAUAGUUUAAGUUCGCCUAGGACCUACCAUUGUGGACCGUGAGAGGUGCCUAACACCUUCCCCUCAAGGUUAUUUCGAUCCCUUACCCUAAAUCUCUGGUAAUGCAAACUAGUCCAUGAGUUAAUUGUUCAAGGUGCCCUAACGCACCAUAAUCUGUUAGGUGGAAACUCUUCAAAUACCCAAUUCCCAAAAGGAAACGAGUUAUUUCUGUGAGCAUGUGAUUUUUGCCCUAUACGAAAUACUCCAAUAAAAUCUCAAGAAAAUAGAUUUUUGUUAAUUAUUUGCCAUUUUUGGAAUUUUUGUUUAAUUGUUUGCAUUUUCGUGCAUGUUUUAAUUUUAUUAAAUCAUGAAAAAUACCAUGCAUUGAAUUUAGGCUUUAUUUUUAUAUUUUUAGGAUUAAUUAGUUAAUUAUUUGCUUUACUAAAAAUGAAAAUCACAAAAAUAGCUCAUUUUAUAUUUUUACCUUUUAAUUUUUAGAUUAUUAAUUUUUCUCUUUCGAUUUAGGAUCAAGUAAUUUUUAUAAUUAUUAUAAUUAGAUAAUUAGUUAGUUUUACAAUUUAGAUUAAUUUAGAAUUUUUAAUUAAAGAAGAAGAAAAAGAAAAACAAAGGAAAAAGGGAAAAAAGAGGUAAUUGAAAAAAGGGGAUUUAAUAUGAAUUUGGGUUAAUUCUUUGUACCAAAUUGGCCCAAUUCUUCCCCAAAGCUAACCCAGAUCCAAGCCCAAAUUCGAACCAACCCCAACCCAAAUACACUUGAACCAAUCGGCCCAAAACCCAUCCCCUUUCAAUUAAAACCUAGACUCAGAACUGUAUAGAGAUAAGAUUUUAGUCUACAUUUGAGAUCAGAUUCCUAAUUCCCUUCACCAAACGGCGCAAUACACUCGAGACUUCCUCUUCUUCAUUUGUUUUCUCCAAACCAGAGACCCUUAGACAAAAAAACCUCAAACGUUGUUAUUCAUCAUCACAAAACAGACCUCUCUUCUCCAAAUCAUAAACAACAGAACCUCACUCUCUCAUUCAUUGACGCACGCACAGGAAAGCUGAGAAGGAAUCUUAAAUUUUCUUUAAAAUCGAAAAAAAUAAGAGAAAGCUUCAAGUCAGAUCUGAGAAAACCAAAAAAAAGAGCUGUGAAAAAAGAGAAAACUUCUGUUUCUUCAUGUUUUUAUUAUUUUUAUUUCGAAUUUUGGGUAUCAAAAUCAUGGUAUUUGCUUGAGGUUGGAGUUGUCCUCAUUCGAUUUCCGGCUCCGCUAUUCGAUUUUGUUGUUGCUUCUGUCGAAACUGCUAUACAGGGUUUCAUCUUGAAAGCUGUGCAAGUGAUAUAGUUUUGAGAUUUCAUGAUUGUUGUCAAAGCUACAAGGUAUGUUACAAAAUAUAUUUGGUGGCAGUCUUUAUGUAAGUAACAUCCUCGUUUUCAAAUCCCAUCACCCAGUUUUAAUUUGUUGUAUGAAGUUUGUUAAUUAUGUUUGUUGUUUUAGCUGAUUGUGCUAAGUUUCUUGAAAACUUUAAGUUGUUGUGAGUAAACUGAUAAAUAUGGAUCUUGUUUAUGAGAGUGAUCAAGAAUUUACUUGAUUUAUCAUUAAUAUAAGAAAAAGGCUGAAUUUUCUGUUCAUAGCUUUGUUAGAGAUGCAGUAUAGAAUAUAGAGGAUACAUAGAUACAUAUAAAGAAAGGAAAAUGGUUGAUGAGAAAUGGCCGUAGUGAGGACAGAUUACAAGGAAUUUAGCUUCUUCACCCAUAUAGUUGGUCAAAAAUAAUUGAAUUGGUAUUUGGAACUUUGAAAAGCAAUCAUUGUAUAAACGAAAAUCUAAAUAAAUCGCUUGUUGUUUAAAGCAUCUUUAGAUGACAUUGGAUAAUUUAAGGGGUACGUUAUGCUAAAUAAGUUGUUAUCUAUAACAAGGUUUUUCUAUGUUUUUUUAACAAAAUAAAGACUAUGGCCCAACUAACUUAAGGUAUGAAUUAUUUAUUUAUUUGGAAACGGGAACUGCCAUAAUUAUAUUUGAUUUUCAUUUGGAUGUGUUUAAUGAUUAGUAGCUUCUCUUUAUGAAUGACCAGAAUCUGCUUCAUUCCACAAAUAAAUCUCAUAAACUCUCGGACGUGAUCUCAAACACUUAGAAAAUAUUAACUUAUAAACAUCGUAGUUUGCUUUAGUUGAGUAAAAUCUUUUGAAAUAAGUGAGGUGUACCAUGCCAAAUAAAAUUUAUAAUUCAUGGCCCGUGUAAGAUUAGAUUAAGAACUAACACUUAUAGAAAAGGUUUGAGGUGUUCCAUAAAUAAAUUAAAUCAUCCAUGACCCUCACAAAUGUUGAUUUUAAAAAUUGAAUAAUCGUAGUUUGCUUUAGGCUCGAUUUAGACUAGUGUUGUGAUUAUGUAUACGUUCGCGUAACAUAAUUGGAAAUUUAAUUCUAAAAGUAACCCGAGGAAUGCGUUCGUGCAACUUCAACCAAACAUUUCUUAAUAAAAUCAACAAAGCGCUAUUAAUUGUGGACACGCUCGUGUGACAUGAUUUUGACGCGCCAAAGGAAAAAAGUAUACGUACGCGUAACUCAAUUUUUUAAAAUACGAAUAAUCAAGUGAUUAAAAACGUUAAAAAGGUAAAUGCACAUAUGUUCUAAAAUAAGUAAUUAGACUAUUUAAGCCAAGUAAUAAUCACUAAGAGACCGUGCUAGAACCACGGAACCCGUGAAUGUCUAACACCUUCUCCCAGGUUAAGAGAAUUCCUUAUCUAGAAUUUCUGGUUCGGAGACUUUAAAAAUAAAAACUUCCUCAAUUUGGGAUUUAAAAUAAAUCGAUGACUUGGGACACCAAAUAAACUAUUUCAAGUGGCAAUUCUGAUUAAUAAAAUAAUCUCAUUUCGAAUAAUGUAACUUUAAUUGGAAAAACUCUCUUAUAUAUCCUCGGGGUCUAAAAAAAGGAGGUGUGACAGCUCUGGCGACUCUGCUGGGGAUAAGAACCCAGAACUUUGGUUCAGGGUUCAAGAAUUCAAGCUUAGAAUAACUGUUAUAGUUGAAUUUAUUUAUUAUCUGAUUUUUACAUAUUUGGGCCUAAUGUGCUAAAUAUCGCUUUUUACUGCUUUGAUAUUAUUUGAAUUGUGCAUAAACUGUUACGAAACCCUUCUUUUCUCAUCUUCGGGGAUGUGNNNN